CGCUCAGCCCCGCUGCCCGGCCCUGCCCGCUCCGAGCCCGCACCCCCGGCCGCCCCAUGAAAGCGACUCGAUUCGCCAUGAGGACAGAGAGCGCCUUCCAGGAGCAGCCCGCCCUGAUCGAGCCGGGGAGGAACGAAUGGUCAAUGAAUUAAAGAUGGGCGGAAAAUGAGCAAAGGGAAACGCAGCCACCAGCGGGACGGGUAGGGAACCCCCAGCCCACAGUGCAGCGUGGGGACGGCGGCCUGCCCGCGGCACAAGGGUUUGGGUUAUCUGGUGGAGUCGCUGAGGGGGGUGGGGGAGAUUGCUGGGUUUGAUCCUGAAGGCUGCGCUGCGCUGGGGAGGUCUGGGGUAAUUUUGGCAGCGGGGACAGGCAGGUUCCUGCACGGUGGGUUUGUAGGUGUUGUGAAACUUGGAGGCGUAGGGAAGAGCAGAUGAUGCGAUAGAAGUGCAGGUGGUGCAAUAAAAGCUGCACUUUGCCUCUGUUGGAGAGGUCCCGGGGCUGCUUGGAGCCACCGGGCUGGGGUGGGAUGGGGCAUGCACCAGUAGGAAGGGACAAAACUCAUGCUGGGAGACUGGGAAACAUGCUGCUGGGGUUGGUGAGCUCUGAUGGGCUGUUGGGACCCUGCAGCAUCCUCCCAGGGUGGGGGGCUGCAGGGCAGGGAGCAUCCCCAGGUGCUGCGCUGCAUGAGGUGCUUUCCAGCAGCUCUCCAGGCGGAUGUUCUCCUCCUUAACGAAGCUCACAGCUG
rnacentral:lncRNA from 1 species